GAUGAACGCUGGCGGCGUGCCUAAUACAUGCAAGUCGAGCGAACGGACGAGAAGCUUGCUUCUCUGAUGUUAGCGGCGGACGGGUGAGUAACACGUGGAUAACCUACCUAUAAGACUGGGAUAACUUCGGGAAACCGGAGCUAAUACCGGAUAAUAUUUUGAACCGCAUGGUUCAAAAGUGAAAGACGGUCUUGCUGUCACUUAUAGAUGGAUCCGCGCUGCAUUAGCUAGUUGGUAAGGUAACGGCUUACCAAGGCAACGAUGCAUAGCCGACCUGAGAGGGUGAUCGGCCACACUGGAACUGAGACACGGUCCAGACUCCUACGGGAGGCAGCAGUAGGGAAUCUUCCGCAAUGGGCGAAAGCCUGACGGAGGAACGCCGCGUGAGUGAUGAAGGUCUUCGGAUCGUAAAACUCUGUUAUUAGGGAAGAACAUAUGUGUAAGUAACUGUGCACAUCUUGACGGUACGUAAUCAGAAAGCCACGGCUAACUACGUG
rnacentral:rRNA from 1 species